AUUGAACGCUGGCGGCAUGCCUUACACAUGCAAGUCGAACGGCAGCACGGGAGCAAUCCUGGUGGCGAGUGGCGAACGGGUGAGUAAUAUAUCGGAACGUGCCCAGUCGUGGGGAUAACGUAGCGAAAGCUACGCUAAUACCGCAUACGAUCUAUGGAUGAAAGCGGGGGAUCGCAAGACCUCGCGCGAUUGGAGCGGCCGAUAUCAGAUUAGGUAGUUGGUGAGGUAAAGGCUCACCAAGCCGACGAUCUGUAGCUGGUCUGAGAGGACGACCAGCCACACUGGGACUGAGACACGGCCCAGACUCCUACGGGAGGCAGCAGUGGGGAAUUUUUGGACAAUGGGCGCAAGCCUGAUCCAGCAAUGACCGCGUGCAGGAUGAAGGCCUUCGGUUGUAAC
rnacentral:rRNA from 1 species